AUGAACACCACAGACGGGGUAAAUGAUUUGCCUAAAGUCACACAGCUCGUAAGGGCCAGAGCCCACACUUUCAUCCACUAGCCUAUAUUCUGUGCUGUCAUCACUGAUAGCAGUGACUGAGACUGAGAGACAAAGUCACUUAAGAGCUGAUGGCUGCCACGUGUCCCUGGAAUGCAGAGUGUGCACACAAUCCCUGUGGAACCAACACAGGACACAAAGGUUUUCUUCUCCUCUGCUGUCCAGAGCCUGUGAGAGCUCCAGCUGCAGACUAUCAGGAUGGGGUAAAGGCCGCUGUGCGCAGGCACACUCACGUUUACUACCACCACCAAGCGAACACCUGCUGAGGCUCUGAUCUGCUGUUAACACCAUGUGGGGGAGGGAAGUGUCCAGGAGGGGGCAGUGAACCCAAAGGAAGGCUGCAGAGAAGCCAACUAUAAUAAGCUAAUAAGCUAUCACAGAAUCAAGACACCUGCACAUGGAACAGUCAAAUGAUUCCUGCAGGCAAAGUUCCUCUGGCUUCACUCUUCCUCCCGAGCUAAGAGCUCACCAAAGCCGUGCAAAUCUACUUUCCAAUGAGGCUCAACCCCUCCCUUGCCAAGCCAUUUUUAAUAAGGCACGCCCAUCUCAUUAGUUUGCACCCCCUUCACUCUGUCCAGGGAGCGGCUCCAAUGAGCAAGGGCACCCCAUUUCCUCCUAGUGCAGGUUCAGACCCUUACCCACAGAGGAAUCUGAGGCUGAAUUUCAGCACAGCACAAUGGAUGGAGGUUGAACCUUGCCUGUGCCACUUCCUGGCUGGGCCACCUGGACAAGUCACUUUACCUUCCUGAGCCUCAGUACAGACAGUCCCCAAAGUCCAGUGGUUUGAUUCAAGAUUUUUCAACUUUAUGAUGAUGCAAAAGCAAUAUGCACUUGGGAGAAACUGUGCCUCAAGUACCCAUACAACCAUUCUCUUUUUCAUUUUCGGUAUUCAAUAAACUACAUGAGAUAUUC
ensembl:lncRNA XPC-AS1 XPC antisense RNA 1